GACGAACGCUGGCGGCGUGCUUAACACAUGCAAGUCGAACGGAAAGGCCCUGCUUUUGUGGGGUGCUCGAGUGGCGAACGGGUGAGUAACACGUGAGUAACCUGCCCUUGACUUUGGGAUAACUUCAGGAAACUGGGGCUAAUACCGGAUAGGAGCUCCUGCUGCAUGGUGGGGGUUGGAAAGUUUCGGCGGUUGGGGAUGGACUCGCGGCUUAUCAGCUUGUUGGUGGGGUAGUGGCUUACCAAGGCUUUGACGGGUAGCCGGCCUGAGAGGGUGCCCGGCCACAAUGGGACUGCGAUACGGCGCAGAAUCCUACGGGAGGCAGCAGUGGGGAAUAUUGCACCAUGGGCGCAAGCAUGAUGCAGCAACGCCGCGUGCGGGAUGACGGCCUUCGGGGUGUAAACCGCUUUCGCCUGUGACGAAGCGUGAGUGACGGUAAUGGGUAAAGAAGCACCGGCUAACUACGUG
rnacentral:rRNA from 1 species